CGAGCGGGCCAGGCGAUCGCGUGCGCUCAGCGCAUGAGGAAAGUCCGGGCUCCAAAGGGCAGGAUGCCAGCUAACGGCUGGGCGGGGCGACCCGACGGACCAGUGCCACAGAAAAGAAAACUCCCCUGGACGAGCGCUUCGGCGUUCCGUUCGGGAGAAAAGCUGAAACGGUGCGGUAAGAGCGCACCAGCGCAUCGGCAACGAUGCGGCUUGGUAAACCCCAUCCGGAGCAAGCGCAAAUAGGAACGCGAUACGGCCGCCCUUCCGUGCGUUCGGGUUGCGUGCUACAAGGCCGCUGGCGACAGCGGUCGCAGAUAAAUGAUCGCCCAACGACAGAACCCGGCUUAUCGGCCCGCUCGCCUU
rnacentral:RNase_P_RNA from 3 species